AACGCACAUUGCGCCCUUUGGUAUUCCGAAGGGCAUGCCUGUUCGAGCGUCAUUAGACCAAUCAAGCAACGCUUGGCCUUGGGCGGUCGCCCCCGUCCGCGGUGGGCGUGCCCCAAAUGACCCCCGGCGAAGUCAAUCCGGCCCUGGGCGUAGUAGAAUUUCAAAACGUCGAGAGGGUCCGGUGGGCUUCGGCCGUCGAAACACCAAUCUUUCAUCAAAGGUUGACCUCGGAUCAGGUAGGGAUACCCGCUGAACUUAA
rnacentral:misc_RNA from 1 species